ensembl:lncRNA
CACACACCAUUUAGCUCAGAUUAAAGUAACACAAUAGUGCGUUUUCACUCUGAUCUCUCACCGCAGUGUCUGUAAUGUGUGCGAGAUUAACAUUUAUCCCGUCUGAACUGACAUGUCGGUAAAGACUGCGUGAUACCCUGUAGGAAAACAGUAGGUUUCAUGUUUAAAAACACAGACGAAGCUUAAACGGGCGUGUCAAACUGAAGCGCUUUACUAGCAGGUUGAUUAACUCUCCCAAACGCUUCCUAUACACGUACGAGAUUAAUCAGACGUUUACACAACAAAAUGACGCCAAGUGGACAUGGACGGGGAAUUGGUUAUCAUGACAGGCCUAGCUCUGAGCACAUGUGAUGAUCAUCACGUGACGUGCUAAUGAUUAACUGGCCACGCCCACUACUACAAGAGUUUAUAAUAAAGCUCAAAAACCAUUCGUUUGUAUUAAAACAAGACGUUUUGGGGUUGUUUUUUUUUUUUUAAACACGCAUGACACGCCGAAGUCGCACCCAGGAGUCGUUUUGAGUGAGUCGAGUGUACUGAAAUGUGGCGUGCUCGGUACCUUCCCCUGCAGGGGUCCCUGUAUGAGUUUGGGGUAUUUCUGAGUGGAGCUGUUGCCGUGCCCCAGUUUGCCGUAAUCUCCGUCGCCCCAACUGAACACUUCUCCUUCGCUGGUGAACGCUAGCGUGUGGCCGUCCGAGCCCUUGGACGAGGAAACCUUCUUGAUGGCACGGUGAGGUUCGAAGGUCAGCUUCUUAAGUGUGGACUGGUUGUUGGAGUCACCCAGACCCAGGCGGCCGUAGCUUCCCUUUCCACAAGCCCGGACGGAGCCAUCGGACGAGAUCACGAACGUGCAAUACUGACCGGCUUCGAUCUGGAAUUGGAAACACCGACUCAACGAUUCCGAUCGGAUUGGCCCGUCGAGACAUUAACGCGUUGGCGCGUUUCUUACCGUCUGUGCGUCGCUGAAGCUGGCGGCGAGUUUGGGCUGGAGGAUUUUCUCCUGCGUUCCCUCCACGAGCUGGUGGCUGCUGUUGCUGCCCCACACGUACACCUCGCACGUCUCGGACACCAUGGCCGCCUCGCCCGUCUGGAUGCUGUCCGGACUCGCGCACGUCCUCGAGUAAUCCGACGCCAUGCGACAGACCUGCAACGUCGCCGUCGGUAACAGUGUAAACCAAGAGAUUACUCCAUUCCUAAUUAUUUUUAAAACUUUUUUUUUUUUUUUUACCUCUUCAAACAGACAGAGCGCUGCUUCAUACAGAGAGCACAGACCGUCCGGGGUCCGCGUCGGCUCCCUCCACUGACUCCUGUCUGCAGACGAACCCUGGACCAACGAUCGUCUCAUCUGCAUGAGGAUGUUCAUGAAGCAGUCGUAUCCCAUCAGGCCUUCCUGGUUCUGGUUCUGCUCCAGGUUGCUGACUCCAGCCGAGGCGGCCAGCGCCAUCUCCACCCACUCCAGCAGAUAACGCAGUGAUCCUCUCUGCGCCGCUAAACCCAGGAGGAGCUCGCAGGCCAGUCUCCGCCCCACCACGUCCGCGCCGGACUGGCAGGCGAUCACGCCCUUCAGGAAGGCGGUGACCUGCACCAGGCAGUCUAAGCCCAUGGGCGGGAUCUUGCUCUCGUUGGCUAGCGAUAACGGCGGCAGCGAGCCCACCACCUCGAUCGCCGUGGUGAUGACGUCGUUGCAGAGGCUGAGGCCGGGCGUGGCGGUGGGCAGGGCCCAGCUCUGACGCAGCAGCGCGAAGAGUAAGCUCAGACCCGUGCGCACGCCCAUCUCGAUUAGCGCGUCCGUACUCGAGCGCGGCCGCUCGCUCGCCGCCUGCAGCUCAGACGAGUUCAGCGCGCUCUCGCCCGAGUGCUGCUGCUGCUUGGCCUUGCCCUUGUCGUGGUACUUGCUCGAGAGAGCGUAAAAGAUGCGCUGCAGCACCAGAAGGCGUUUGCGCAGAGCGCUCGCGAAAGGAGAGUCCGAGCACACGGUUUUGGCCAAAGCCAGCUGACUGGCCAGCAGCGCGUCCAGGUAGUGCUCCUGUUCAUCACGCGACAGGCACUCGCGCUCGAAGUCGGGCAGCUGGGGGCCUUUGAGGCACAGAACCUGCUGAGGAAGCAGCACCACCUCUUUAUUAAUCAGGAGCUUGGAGUAGAGAAGAGCCACGCCCUCUCGCGUGGAGAUGGACUCGCUGUCCUCCGAGAUCCAAGAGCUGUUCAGAUGCUCCAACCAUUUCAGCUUCACCGGCGGAAUCAUCGCAGCCAUGACGCUGCCUCAUUCGUUCAUUCACACGCCGUCUCACCUGAGGGCGAAAAAAAACAAAACAUACACAAUCCACUUUAUUCCUUUAUACGAUUCAUUUUUAUCCGUUUGUAGUUACAUUUAAACGUUGUGGCACUUCUGGGAAACAUUUACACGCUCAUUCCCCCACCAGCCUCUUUCUACGUUGUUUUAUUCCUUUUCCACCCCAUCCCCAUCAGCCUUUUUCUUUUUUUUAAUUAUUAAUGAUUGAAAAACGCAUCGGUGACGCUCUAACGGAUCGGACGUGGGACUACGAGUCGGAUUUCUGCGCCGAUAUUGGCCCGGAUUCCAGGAUUUGACCCUCCGGGUUUAUUCCGUGCUGUGGAUGUGGGGGACGUUAUCGGACACGACGCAGGCGUGAGAACAGAAAAUAACCCGUCCUAAAUCACAUCACCAUCAACAUAACGAGAACACAAACGAGAACAUGAAGAUGG